rnacentral:rRNA from 1 species
AGUGAUAUGCUUGCCUCAAGGGUUAAGCCAUGCAUGUCUAAGUAUAAACAUUUUUAUACUGUGAAACUGCGUACGGCUCAUUAUAUCAGCAAUUAUUAAUUUGAUGGUACUUACUAUAUGGAUAUCCGUAGUAAUUCUAGAGCUAAUACAUGCGUAAUUUCUAACUGAUCUUCGGAGACGUUGGAUGUAUUUAUUAGAUACAAAACUAAUGUGUUCUUUACUGAACUCCAUUGUGAUGACUUCUAGCAACUGUUUCAAAUCACAGGUCUUGCACCGGUGAUAGUUCAUUCAAAUUUCUGCCCUAUCAGCUUGACGGUAGUGUAGUGGACUACCGUGGCGUUAACGGGUAACGGAGAAUUAGGGUUCGAUUCCGGAGAGGGAGCCUGAGAAACGGCUACCACAUCCAAGGAAGGCAGCAGGCGCGCAAAUUACCCAAUCCCGACACAGGGAGGUAGUGACAAGAAUUAACAAUACCGGGCCUCUUUAGGUCUGGUAAUUGGAAUGAGUACAAAUUAAAACUCUUAACGAGGAUCAAGUGGAGGGCAAGUCUGGUGCCAGCAGCCGCGGUAAUUCCAGCUCCACUAGCGUAUAUUAAAGUUGUUGCAGUUAAAAAGCUCGUAGUUGGAUUUCUGGUAUGAUACGCCUGACCCGCUCUUUUUUAAGAGUGUGUGUCGGUGCSAGUCUGCCAUCUUUGUCAGUAACUACUGCUCUACCCUUCAUUGGGCUGGGGUAGUACAAGCUGAAUCGAUUACCUUGAAAAAAUGAGGGUGUUUAAAGCAGGCAAACGUUUUGGAUCUACUAGCAUGGAAUAAUAUCAUAGGACUUCGGUUCUAUUUUGUUGGUUUAUGAAUCGAUGUGAUGAUUGAUAGGGAUAGUUGGGGGUGCUAAUAUUCAGAGUUUGUAGGUGAAAUUCUUGGAUUCACUGAAGACUGCCUUCUGCUAAAGCAUUCACAAGGAUAUCUUCUUUAAUCAAGAACGAUAGAUGGGGGAUCGAAGAUAAUCAGAUACCGUCGUACUCCCAACUAUGACCGAUUCCAGCUGGGGAUUGGUGACGUUGCCAAAAAGAUCGACCCUCUUGAGCCCGAGGAGAAAUAUGAAGCUUUUGGUGACCGUGCGGAAUAUUGACGCAAGAGUGAAACUUAGAGGAGAGGAUCGAAGGUCAUUUCCUUGAACGGAGGGAGACUCAUAAUUUGCAUAAAUAGGAACCACGAAAAUUGAAGAUUCUUUCUACGAUUCCCAGAUGGCAGAUCUUUCUUAAUUCUAAGGAAGUUGGGGG